GCAACGCCGCGUGAGGGACGACGGCCUUCGGGUUGUAAACCUCUUUUAGCAGGGAAGAAGCGAAAGUGACGGUACCUGCAGAAAAAGCGCCGGCUAACUACGUGCCAGCAGCCGCGGUAAUACGUAGGGCGCAAGCGUUAUCCGGAAUUAUUGGGCGUAAAGAGCUCGUAGGCGGUCUGUCGCGUCUGCUGUGAAAACCCGAGGCUCAACCUCGGGCCUGCAGUGGGUACGGGCAGACUAGAGUGCGGUAGGGGAGAUUGGAAUUCCUGGUGUAGCGGUGGAAUGCGCAGAUAUCAGGAGGAACACCGAUGGCGAAGGCAGAUCUCUGGGCCGUAACUGACGCUGAGGAGCGAAAGCAUGGGGAGCGAACAGGAUUAGAUACCCUGGUAGUCCAUGCCGUAAACGUUGGGAACUAGAUGUAGGGUCCAUUCCACGGAUUCUGUGUCGCAGCUAACGCAUUAAGUUCCCCGCCUGGGGAGUACGGCCGCAAGGCUAAAACUCAAAGGAAUUGACGG
rnacentral:rRNA from 1 species